rnacentral:lncRNA from 1 species
UGGCAUGGGACCCGGAUCAGCUAAAUCGCACACCUCAUUACAAGUAUGGGUCAUGGCUAUUCUCGUCGUCGAUUCUCAUACCUUGGAGCUUGAUCCCUGAUUUUCCAUGCCCUCGCCCAUAACCCUCCUUCCUUCCCCUGCUCGUCGAUUCCCAAGUGCAUAAAUCACCUGAAUCCUUUAUUGAUCAUACAAAUUCGUUUUCAAUCUAUCAGAAAUUGAUACUAAAUGAAUUGAACCCAUCAAAAUCGUAGAAAAUUUAAUGAUUUAAACAGAUUGGUGAUUUUUCAUCAGUGUGAAUCAUUUCCAUAGUUGAAGCUGAGCGAUAAGUGUGCAUCACUCAUCACUGUUGAAGUGGAUUUCAAUUAAAAGGUAUGUAAUGGUUUAUUAAUUUCCCCCUGUUCUUUUACUAUCCACUUCAACACUACUUGUAGGUUCAUUUGAAACUGCUUGUUUUAAAUGUCAUUUUAAAGCAUAUCGACUGAAUCAAUUUUUUUAUUCGAAUUUAAUGCCACAUUAGCUAUUUAUGGUUUGCUCAUAGUGUGGUGUUCAGAAUUCAUAGAGUAUUAGAAAACAAAAAAUAUUUAAAGGAAAUAAGUACCCAUCACCAAAUAUUUGUCAAUUCUUACCAUAAAAACGUACACACCCAAUACAAUAUGAGAGUAGUAAUGUAAUGGUUCCCAAGCAUUCACACAUUCACCCAAUACACCAAAUAUUUGCAGCUUGUUGUUUAAAAAAUGCGAUCUUGAUGCAUAUUAAGUGUUUGAUGAAAUGUGUGAAUGAAUUUUUUUAUUUGAAUUUAAUGCAACAUUAGCUGUAUUGUUUGUUCAUAGUGAGGUGUUCUGAAUUCAUGGAGUAUUAGAAAAGAAAGAUUAUUUAAAAUAAAUAAGUUUCAUUCUCCAAAUAUUUGUCAAUUCCAACCAAAAAAUUGUGCACACCCAAUACAAUUUGAGAGUAGUUAUGGUUGCCAUAAAAUGAUAUUGAUAUGUUAGCCAGCAUUACACUUUCAGAUGAGCUAAUUUUUUUUGUUAUUUUACUUAGUUAAUUUUCAUAUGAGAUAAUUUAUUCUUAAAAAGGUACAUAUUUUCUAGGUUGCUGAGGUUUGCUAGUGAUGAAGGAAUAGAACCACUUAGUCGAUUUUAGGCUCAACUCAAGAUCAGUGAGAGACUUCAAAUUCCCAAGUUCAUUGGGAAUGCGACCAGAGAGUUUAUUGUAGAACAAAUAAAGGAUUUUCAAAGAUGUUAGAUCACCCAAUGAUGAAGGAAUUAAGCCAGAUAGAUGGUUUAAAGCGAGGCUUAUGCCAUUAAGUGAUGACCUGCAUCUUGUAAUUUGACACUAUUGGUAUUUGUAACUUGAGAUUGUGCUUUUGUA